rnacentral:rRNA from 1 species
GAUGAACGCUGGCGGCCUGCCUAAUACAUGCAAGUCGAGCGAACAGACGAGAGUGCUUGCACUCUCUGACGUUAGCGGCGGACGGGUGAGUAACACGUGGGUAACCUACCUAUAAGACUGGGAUAACUUCGGGAAACCGGAGCUAAUACCGGAUAAUAUUUAGCUUCGCAUGAAGCAAUAGUGAAAGACGGUUCUGCUGUCACUUAUAGAUGGACCCGCGGUGUAUUAGCUAGUUGGUGAGGUAACGGCUCACCAAGGCAACGAUACAUAGCCGACCUGAGAGGGUGAUCGGCCACACUGGGACUGAGACACGGCCCAGACUCCUACGGGAGGCAGCAGUAGGGAAUCUUCCGCAAUGGACGAAAGUCUGACGGAGCAAUGCCGCGUGAGUGAAGAAGGUUUUCGGAUCGUAAAACUCUGUUGUAAGGGAAGAACAAGUACGUUAGUAACUGAACGUACCUUGACGGUACCUUACCAGAAAGCCACGGCUAACUACGUG